UUUUUUGUUGGAAAGGGGAUAUCCCUAGUUUGUUACCAUGAUAAAGAAACUAGGCACUGAUGAUGGGAUCCCAGAGAAAUCGAGGGAAACUCUCGAAAAUCCGCAAUAACUUUUUACUGGGUGUACCGAUUUUGAUAAUUUUUAAUUUAAUCAAAAGCUGAUAUUUAUCAUGUGGUCACAUAUAAAUUUUAUCGAGAUCUGAUAACUACUUUUUGAGUAAUCUUUGAUAACGCGUAGUUACUUGACAAUUUUUUCGUCGAUCUACGUUGUAUUACUCGUCGAUGUAAUUGAAUCGGUUUUUUUUUUCGUUUGCCUGCAAACACAAUUAUCUUCGUUUGCCUGCAAAAACAAUUAU
rnacentral:misc_RNA from 1 species